AUGUCUGACCAUGGAGAUGGAAAGCACAACGGUGAAAAUCGCCCACCAAUCGAAUCGAUUCUCAGAGUGGAUGAGGAAGCAGCCGGUGACCGCCCAGAUAGUUUUGUUCACUUGCUGACCCUUGUCAUUGAUAGAAAUGGUAUUGACGGCGUUGCGUGGAUAUUAUGGCUGUUUGGAGUUCUUCCCAACAUUGAUGAAAACCAUGACAACAACGAAAACCAUGACAACAAUGAAAACCAUGACAACAUCGAAAACCAUUACAACGUGGAUGACCUCGACAAUGACAAUGUGAAUGACAAUGUUGACUUUGACAACAUUGACAAUCACGAUGUUGAUAACGAUGACGGCAAUAAUGAAAAUGCAGCAGAUGCUGAUGCUGUUGCCAGUGCUGAGGUUGCUGCUGGAGUUGGUCAGGAUGUAGAAGAGCAUGACCUCUUGCCCAGACGAUCACUGAAGAGGUCCAGAGAGGAGGAUGAAGCGGACGAUGAAGAGAGAAGUAGGAAAAGAUUCAGAUGGUGCGACGACGAUGACUGCUCAUCAGACAUCGACGCUGGCAGCAUUUGCAGUGACCAUAACAACACUGACGAGAAUACUGGAAAUACGGCAGUUGAACAUGCAGGUGCUAGCGCUGAGUGUGCCGAAGAAGACCCUCUGCCUGGUCCAUCCACGAAAUGGCCAAGAGAGCAUGACCAAGAAGAAAAUAAGUAUAGCAGCAGCAAAACAUUAAGACAAUGUCAUGAGUUUACCGACAGCGACUCUGAUACGGAUACGGACACAACUGGACACAAUCUUGCUCGGAGUAGUUGUGAUGUUGAUCUGUCUGAAGAUGAGGGUGCUGUGGAAGAUACUGACGAGGAAGAUAGCCAGCAGGUGGAGGAGGAAGACCCACAGCCCAGUUGCUCUGGAAAGAGGUCUAGGAAAAGGGAUGACAGAAAGGGAGGGAGAGGCAGCAAAAGAUGGAGACGUUAAAAUGAGACACAAUCAGCGAAGCCUUAUUAAGAAGAUCUUUGGCUCCCCUCUGAUGGACCAUGGGCCCCUGGGACCAUCUACCGUUUCCGUGCUCCUGCUGCCUUGAAAUACUGAACGCUCUGGAUCGUCACACCCUGGGCUCCGCUGGAUCAAUGCUCUCCUCUGUUUCACUUUCUCCUCAUAUCUAUAUUUCUGUAAAUCUUGAUCCCUCUCUCUGUCUAUUACUAAUUAUCUUGUGUGGCCUGCCCUCUUCCAGGUCACCAUGGUGGACAGGAGGUCCUGUGGCUCGGGCACCACUUGGUGAUGCCUCGUCCUGCUCAGUCAUCUCCUGGAUCCACUCACUUUACAUAUAAUUUGUAUCAGACUCUCUGUUUAUGUAACUUGUUAACUGUGAUUUAAAAAUGUGAUCUAUUGCAUGUCUGUCUGUCCUGGAAGAGGGAUCCUUCCUCUGUGGCUCUUCCUGAGGUUUCUUCUAUCGUUUUUUUUUUUACCCUGGGGUAAAAUUGAGGGAAUUGAGGCAAUGUGAUUGCGAUUUUGGGCUAUAUAAAUAAAAUUAAUUUGAUUUGAAUCCUGUUUGUUGUCGGCACGUCUCACGGAAUACAAACAAGAGACUCCAUUGACAUAAAUUAAAGUGCCAUUUACUUUGGAGGGCACUUGCUCUGUGUUUUUUCUAACAUGGGGGCAAUCACCUCCACCAGUGGACCAAAGGAAGUGACUUUAUGCAUUCUCAAAUGAGCAACAGAAGCUGAUGUUAGUCCACAGGGCCCCUUUGACUUCAUGAACACUACGUUUUAUAUUAUAGUCUUUACUCAAUUAUUAAAGGGCAAUUCUGAGGUCAUAUUUUCAAAACGCAGCAUGUCAUAUUUCUCAGCAAAAGCAGUUUAAAAAUGGAAAUCCUUUCAAACAUCACAGUGUUAUGGGCGCAGGCUCACAGAAGAAGCCACUGCGGUAAUGGUGACUUGUUUACUUCUGCCCUCAACCUAAAUUUGACAUUCCGUUUCGGUUCAGUGUGAUUUCAAUCCCAACUACAAAAAGGGGAUCCUUGCUACAAAAUAGCAACACACACUUUUUUUCUUUUUUUUUUUUUCUUUUCAGUAAUAGCUUUUAGACAAGUUUUAUAUUUUGAAAGGUGGGUGAAACGAAUAACCACCAUUCAAAUCCCCUCUGAGUUUUUUUCAACAAACAUUAGAUGUUUUAGUGCGUCCAUGAUUGAAGUGCCGGGCCAAAAACUCUUAGACUGCACCUCGGGUUGAGCCAACCUCGCUCUGGGUCAAAUUGUGAAAAGUGUGACUCACUGAAAGCCAUUCUGUGCUAAGAGCAUACAUGAAUUCCGAAAAAACUGUGCCAGCUGAGCCAGUUUCACUGGAGAUAAAAAGAACUACAGCUACAUAGAAUAUAGCUGCUGCAGGGUCCACAUGUAUACCAUUUCAGGCUGUCGUGAACCUUGCUACUCCAGGACCUUAGUGGGAUGUGACUAAAGAUUAUGGAGCUUUGAAAGGCCGGAGUGGCACCGCUGCAUGUUCACAAAUUGAGAUUAUUACAGAACACCCUCGGUACACUGAAAUAUAGAUGAGAGAGAGGAGCAUUUUGGCACUCAGAGCUGGGUCAAGCAGCGCCAUUCAAGCAGUCUCUGUAAUGCUCAACCAUAAUGACACACACAGAAGUAAUUUCUUUGUUUGUGUAAUGGUGGGAGCUGAUUACCAAAAGCAAAGAGACCUACGCACUUCCAGGGCUGCAAUUUGCAUAUAUUAUCAGUGACAAAACAAGUGAAAAAAAAAAAAAAUUAUAGCAUGGGAAGAAAAAGCACUCUCCCGUGGUCAAACACAGCGUGUCGAAAGAAGCCGAAGAAACGAGACGAAAGAAUUCUAUUGAAGCAAAUGUAUGGCUUUCUAAGAGGCAUGAACAAGGCUCGCUGCCUGUCACAUCCACUUUAGCAAAUCACUGUGACAGCGCAUGCCAAUAAAGAGGACGGGAACGUGGCGUUUUGCGAGAAAGGAUGAGUCGGAGGAACAGAGGGGCGAGCUGAGGGAGAGGAGAGGACAAUAACAGGAAGUGAAAGAGUGAGACACAGAGAGAUGGAUAAACACAUUUUUCUCCCGCCUUUAAUGUUUGGCGGAGCAGCAAAAUGGCUGGCCUUGUCAAAUGGGCAUAUUAGAUGAAUAAUUCAAGGCGGCUGGCAGACUGGGCGUUCGCAGGACGGUGUCAGUGGUUGACAGAGGACACACGUUAAGAGUGGAGUGGAUGUCAGUGAUGCAUUAGAGGGAGUGGCUGCAGCGAGCGUGCGUGUGAGAAACGCAUGCUGCUUGUUUGGUGGGAAUAUGAGACAAAUAUACAGAGCGAGGAAAGGGGAUAAUGUGUUCUGGAGAUUUUGGAGGCAGGCACGGACAGAUAAAUGCCCACACUGCAGAGGGACUCACAUGCAGAGUUUUCAGGGGCCUUUAGCAUAUAUCUCACUCACUCCCUCUCAUGAGCGGUCGUGGGGAGAAGUGUCUUCAGCACGCACCAAGGCACCAAGGCACCAAGGCUUUCUGUUCGAUGUUGCGGAAACACUUUUUUCCUCUGUCCGCGAUCCAAUGCACCCUAAAUCCUGACAGAGACCGAGGCCCGUUAUCGACCGGCAAAUCUACAAUGCUGCACUUCCUGGACCAUCGAUAGAGACCUGAGGAAGAACAAGAGAGAACCAGAGGAGGGAAGCAGAGGUCAAGGCGGCUCAAAGGCUGAUUUGAUCUCAACCAGCGAGGUCCUGGCGUGGGCGAGAG
rnacentral:lncRNA from 1 species